CCUACGGGCGGCAGCAGUGAGGAAUAUUGGUCAAUGGGAGGAAUCCUGAACCAGCCAUGCCGCGUGCAGGACGACGGCUCUACGAGUUGUAAACUGCUUUUGUACCGGGGUAAAAUGCCUUACGUGUAGGGUUUUGAAAGUACGGUACGAAUAAGGAUCGGCUAACUCCGUGCCAGCAGCCGCGGUAAUACGGAGGAGCCGAGCGUUAUCCGGAUCCAUUGGGUUUAAAGGGUGCGUCGGUUGUUUUAUAAGUUAGCGGUGAAAUACCGAUGCUCAACAUCGGGGCUGCCGCUAAUACUGUAGGCCUAGAGCUCGGCUGCAGCAGGCGUAAUGUGUAGUGUAGCGGUGAACUGCAUAGCUAUUACAC
rnacentral:rRNA from 1 species